GACAGAGGGGGCAAGCGUUGUCCGGACUGACUGGGCGUAAAGCGCGCGCAGGCGGUCAGAGGCGUCGGUGCUCAAAGUCCACCGCUUAACGGUGGGAGGCGUGCCGAUACGCUCUGACUGGAGGGCGGGCGAGGGUGGUGGAAUUGCCGGUGUAGUGGUGGAAUGCGUAGAGAUCCGGAGGAACACCAGCGGCGAAGGCGGCAUCCUGGACUGGUCCUGACACUCAUGAGCGAAAGCGUGGGGAGCGAUCCGG
rnacentral:rRNA from 1 species